UUCCUGGUGGCUCAGUGGUAAAGAAUCUGCCUGCAAUGCAGGAGACCCAGGUUCGAUCCCUGGGUUGGGAA
rnacentral:tRNA from 1 species